UGGGGAAUAUUGGACAAUGGGGGAAACCCUGAUCCAGCAAUGCCGCGUGAAUGAAGAAGGCCUUAGGGUUGUAAAGUCCUUUCGCCUGUGAAGAUAAUGACGGUAACAGGAAAAGAAGCCCCGGCUAACUCCGUGCCAGCAGCCGCGGUAAGACGGAGGGGGCUAGCGUUGUUCGGAAUGACUGGGCGUAAAGGGUGCGUAGGCGGUUUUGUAAGUAAGGUGUGAAAGCCCUGGGCUCAACCCAGGAACUGCGCUUUAAACUGCAAAACUUGAGUGUGAGAGAGGAAAGUGGAAUUCCUAGUGUAGAGGUGAAAUUCGUAGAGAUUAGGAAGAAUAUCAGAGGCGAAGGCGGCUUUCUGGAUCACAACUGACGCUGAGGCACGAAAGCGUGGGGAGCAAACAGG
rnacentral:rRNA from 1 species